UGUUCUUUCUGUGGAAGGAGUUCUCAUGC
rnacentral:piRNA from 1 species